GAACCGGAAGUUGUUCUGCCAAACGUGGUUAUGAGAAAGAGCAGUCAACAUGUUUUGUCCAAGUUGUGGAAAAAAGUUGGUAGAGCAGUCACCAAACUUUUGCAGUGGCUGUGGCAAAAGACUUCAAGACUCUAUCACAGACCCUCUACAACCAUCCAAUUUAAAGAUGGACUGGACAGUCUUCAUUUUUUCACUGCAGUCCAGCAGUAUCCGAGUGUUCUGGCCCCAUUGUUAUACCUGACUUACAAGACCCUGACUGCAUCAGAUCUGGAGAAUAUAUUCAGACCAAGUCUCAGCCCAGCAGGAAGCAACAGGCGGCAGAAGGAAGCGCUAACACUUGGCUUUUGGGCAGAUUAUCUGCUUGAUUGUGAAGAGAAAGUGACAGCUGUGUCACUGGAAGAAUUAUUAAUGUUUGCAACAGGUUUGACUGCACUUCCACCAGCUGGGAUGACACCACCUCCAUGCCUAGAGUUUUCGAGUGAUUCACCUUUUCCUGUUGCCAACACCUGUGCAAAUGCACUGAAGCUACCACUCUCUGAAUCAUACAGA